rnacentral:tRNA from 1 species
CGGGGCGUGGCGCAGUCUGGUAGCGCACGGGUUUUGGGAACCCGGAGUCGGAGGUUCAAAUCCUCUCGCCCCGACCA